GUAUAGGUUUAUAGGCACAAAGGCCCAUUGAUUACAUUCUAUGACAUACAUUGGGUAUAUAAAGAAACAUAGGCCUGGAAAUGCAAGGAGAGACAUAAAGUCAAUCCUCAAACCUGAGUGACUAGCAUUCAGAGAGAUAUCCAGGUCUACAAAAGGUGCACAGGUGGAGAUAUAAAGAUGACAAGUGUGCACAUGCUCCCUAGAGAACCAGCAGCAACUCAUCAGGUUUAUUUCAAUAAUGAUCCUUCCGCAGGUUCACCUACGGAAA
rnacentral:misc_RNA from 1 species